AAGGGGGGGGAGGGGGGUCCCUGUGCCUCUCAGACGUCCUGAGGAAGACUCUGGUCUCUGCAGCCUGAGGAGGAAAGCAGAGAUAAAUGAAGGAACCGGCGCGAUGGGGCCUCGGCUGCAGCAUCAUUACUACUGGCUGACAAGCAACUCCCUCAGUUUCCCCACAGUGGGAGAGAACAGUCUGAUAUUAUGGUGAUAAAUGGACUUUGAUCCCGUCUGUGUGGGAUGAUAAACUUCUCUUAUUGAUGAGAUGGAAGAUCACGCCGGUGAUCUGGUGAGGAUCAACGGGAGAACGUAAACACGCAGAGGAAUCCCUCACUCUUUAAACAACGAACCCCGUGGAGGCUGCACUCUGCAUCUUAUCUGCCUCCUUUAAUAACACCAGUCAGCAGUUUGCCUCCUGAAAGCUUCCAACUGCUCUCAAUAAAACCCGAAUGACUGGA